CAGUGUCAAAUUUGUAUGGAGUUGGAACAGCCCCCCUAGCGGCAAACGUAGGGAGCUGUUCCAACUCCAUACAAAUUUGAGUUA
rfam:Bombyx mori DNA, contig: Bm_scaf28_contig18115, strain: p50T/Dazao, build 2, whole genome shotgun sequence.